UAAAGUAAAGUACAGAUAUCGUAGAAGAAAAUUACUUUGGUAGAAGUUGAAGUCACAGUUUGGAAUAUUGCUAUCUGCAAUGGUUUCAUCUUCACUUCCUUCCCCUAAACUGUUUGCAUCUUUGGAUGCUAACAGUGCUACUGAUACUUUCUGCUCCACUCUUACAUAUUGUUUAGACACUAUUUGCCCCUUAUCUUCCAGGCCAGCCCGUAACACCCCUUCUGCCCCUUGGUUAUCUGAUGUUCUACGCGAACACCGUUCUAAGCUUAGCAAGUCCAAAAAUACUACUGAUCUUAUUGUGUAUCAGUCACUCCUAUCUUCUUUCUCUGCUAAUGUCUCCUCUGCUAAAAGGACAUACUACCAUAACAAAAUUAACAAUUCAUCUAACUCUCGCAUGCUUUUUAAAACAUUUUCCUCACUUCUUUGUCCUCCUCCUCCUCCUCCUGCUUCAUCUCUAAUAGCUGACGACUUUGCAACAUUUUUCAUUAAUAAAAUUAAACACAUUAGUGCAAAAUUUUCCACACCACAAUCAGUCAAGCUCAUAUCACCAGCAAACUUACACUCAUUUACAUCCUUCUCUUCACUCUCUCAGGCAGAAGUGUCAAAACUCAUCCUUUCUAAUCAUCCUACAACUUGCCCACUUGAUCCUAUUCCAUCUCAUCUCCUUCAAGCCAUUUCUCCUGAAGUUGUACCUGCACUCACUCACAUCAUCAACACUUCCUUCCACACUGGAGUUUUUCCCUCAUCAUUUAGACAGGCACGUAUAACUCCACUACUUAAGAAACCCAACCUCAACCCAUCUCUUUUAGAGAACUACAGACCAGUUUCCCUUCUUCCUUUUAUUGCAAAAACACUUGAAUGAGCUGUGUUCAAACAAGUCUCUACAUUUUUCACACACAACAAUCUCCUUGACAGCAACCAAUCUGGCUUCAGAAGUGGACAUUCAACUGAGACGGCCUUGCUCUCAGUUGUUGAAGCUCUAAGACUGGCAAGAGCAGAAUCCAAAUCUUCAGUACUUAUACUGCUUGAUCUGUCCGCUGCUUUUGACCCA
rnacentral:lncRNA from 1 species